rnacentral:rRNA from 1 species
UACGUAGGGGGCUAGCGUUGUCCGGAUUUAUUGGGCGUAAAGAGCGUGUAGGCGGCCAGAUAGGUCUGCUGUGAAAACUCGAGGCUCAACCUCGAGAUGUCGGCAGAAACCAUCUGGCUAGAGUCCGGAAGAGGAGAGUGGAAUUCCCGGUGUAGCGGUGAAAUGCGCAGAUAUCGGGAAGAACACCUAUGGCGAAGGCAGCUCUCUGGGACGGUACUGACGCUGAGACGCGAAAGCGUGGGGAGCGAACAGG